AGCGAACGCUGGCGGCAUGCCUAACACAUGCAAGUCGCACGGGGGGGCUUCGGCCUCCCAGUGGCGGACGGGUGAGGAACGCGUAGGGACCUGUCGAGGGGUGGGGGAUAACCGCGGGAAACUGCGGCUAAUACCGCAUGACGCCGCGGCGUGACAGCCGGGGCCAAAGGCGAAAGCCGCCCGCCGAGGGGCCUGCGUCCGAUUAGCUGGUUGGCGGGGUAGCGGCCCACCAAGGCGUCGAUCGGUAGCUGGUCUGAGGGGGUGAUCAGCCACACCGGGACUGAGACACGGCCCGGACUCCUACGGGAAGCAGCAGUGGGGAAUAUUGGACAAUGGGCGCAAGCCUGAUCCAGCAAUGCCGCGUGGGUGAAGAAGGUCUUCGGAUUGUAAAGCCCUUUCGGCGGGGACGAUGGUGACGGUACCCGCAGAAGAAGCCCCGGCUAACUUCGUG
rnacentral:rRNA from 1 species